rnacentral:rRNA from 1 species
GAUGAACGCUGGCGGCGUGCUUAACACAUGCAAGUCGAACGAAGCAUUUGCGACAGAUUUUUUCGGAAUGAAGUUGCUUAUGACUGAGUGGCGGACGGGUGAGUAACGCGUGGGUAACCUGCCUUGUACUGGGGGAUAGCAGCAUGAAACGGCUGGUAAUACCGCAUAAGCGCACAAUGUUGCAUGACAUGGUGUGAAAAACUCCGGUGGUAUAAGAUGGACCCGCGUCUGAUUAGCUAGUUGGUGAGAUAACAGCCCACCAAGGCGACGAUCAGUAGCCGAGCUGAGAGGGUGACCGGCCACAUUGGGACUGAGCCACGGCCCAGACUCCUACGGGAGGCAGCAGUGGGGAAUAUUGCACAAUGGAGGAAACUCUGAUGCAGCGACGCCGCGUGAGUGAAGAAGUAAUUCGUUAUGUAAAGCUCUAUCAGCAGGGAAGAUAGUGACGGUACCUGACUAAGAAGCUCCGGCUAAAUACGUG